rnacentral:tRNA from 1 species
CGGAGCAGUGGCCGAGUGGUUUAAGGCGACGGUCUUGAAAACCGUUGUACCGAAAGGUACCGGGGGUUCGAAUCCCUCCUGCUCCGU